AGAGUUUGAUUAUGGCUCAGGAUGAACGCUAGCGGCAGGCUUAACACAUGCAAGUCGAGGGGCAGCAUGGGGAGUAGCAAUACUCUCUGAUGGCGACCGGCGCAAGGGUGCGUAACGCGUGAGCAACUUGCCCUCAUCAGGGGAAUAAUCGCUGGAAACGGCGUCUAAUGCCCCAUGGCGAUGGAAUCAGGCAUCUGGUUCCAUCUAAAGAUCCGUCGGAUGAGGAUAGGCUCGCGUGACAUUAGCUUGACGGCGGGGUAACGGCCCACCGUGGCGACGAUGUCUAGGGGUUCUGAGAGGAAGGUCCCCCACACUGGAACUGAGACACGGUCCAGACUCCUACGGGAGGCAGCAGUGAGGAAUAUUGGUCAAUGGCCGGAAGGCUGAACCAGCCAUGCCGCGUGAAGGUCAGUGCCCUAUGGGCGUUAAACUUCUUUUGUGCGGGAGCAAUAAGGUCCACGUGUGGACCGACGAGAGUACCGUACGAAUAAGCAUCGGCUAACUCCGUGCCAGCAGCCGCGGUAAUACGGGGGAUGCAAGCGUUAUCCGGAUUUAUUGGGUUUAAAGGGUGCGUAGGCUGUGAGGUAAGUCAGCGGUGAAAUGCCCCCGCUCAACGGGGUGAAGUGCCAUUGAUACUGCCUUGCUGGAAUGCGGAUGCCGUG
rnacentral:rRNA from 1 species